GUAACUUGUACGCGAGUCAAAGGGUGAAAAACCCCAUGGCGAAAUGAUAGUAAAGGUCGGUUAACCGGCUGACAUGGGAUCCGCUCUUCGGAGCGGCGCACCAUGGCCCUGUCUUGUCUGCUUGCAGAUGGGCAGCGGUAGAGCGCACACGUUGC
rnacentral:ncRNA from 1 species